rnacentral:lncRNA from 1 species
ACAGUACUCCAAAUGGUCCCUUGCAGAUUCUACAAAAAGAGUGUUUCCAAACUGCUCAAUCAAAAGGAAGUUUCAACUCUGUGAGAUGAACGCACACAUCACAAAGAAGUUUCUCAGAAUUCUUCUGUCUAGUUUUUAUGGGAAGAUAUUUCCUUUUCCACCAUAGGCCUAAAAGCGCUCCAAAUUUUCACUUGCAGAUUCUACAAAAAGAGAGUUUCAAAACUGCUCAAUCAAAAAAAAGUUUUAACUCUGUGAGAUGAAAGCACACAUCACAAAGAAGUUUCUCAGAUUGCUUCUGUGUAGGUUUUAUGUGAAGAUAUUUCCUUUUCUACCAUAGGCCGCAUAGCGCUCCAAAUGUCCACUUGCAGAUUCUACAAAAAGAGAGUUUCCAAACUGCUCAAUCAAAAGAAAGUUUCAACUCUGUGAGAUGAACGCACACAUCACCAAGAAGUUUCUCAGAAUUCUUCUGUCUAGUUUUUAUGGGAAGAUAUUUCUUUUUCCACCAUAGGCCUAAAAGGGCUCCAAAUGUCCACUUCCAGAUUCUACAAAAAGAGAGUUUCAAAACUGCUCAAUCAUAAGAAAUUUUAACUCUGUGAGAUGAAUGCACACAUCACAAAGAAGUUUCUCAGAUUGCUUUUGUCUAGAUUUUAUGUGAAGAUAUUUCCUUUUCUACCAUAAGCCUCAAAGCGCUCCAAAUGUCCACUUGCAGAUUCUACAAAAUAGAUGUUUAAACCUGCUCAAUCAAAAGAAAUGUUCAACCCGGUGAGAUGAAUGCACACAACACAAAGGAUUUUCUAUGAAUGAUUCUGUCUAGUUUUUAUGUGAACAUAUUUCCUUUUAAGCC